AGUGAACGCUGGCGGUAGGCCUAACACAUGCAAGUCGAACGGCAGCACAGUAAGAGCUUGCUCUUACGGGUGGCGAGUGGCGGACGGGUGAGUAAUACAUCGGAAUCUACUUUUUCGUGGGGGAUAACGUAGGGAAACUUACGCUAAUACCGCAUACGACCUACUGGUGAAAGCAGGGGAUCUUCGGACCUUGCGCGAUUGAAUGAGCCGAUGUCGGAUUAGCUAGUUGGCGGGGUAAAGGCCCACCAAGGCGACGAUCCGUAGCUGGUCUGAGAGGAUGAUCAGCCACACUGGAACUGAGACACGGUCCAGACUCCUACGGGAGGCAGCAGUGGGGAAUAUUGGACAAUGGGCGCAAGCCUGAUCCAGCCAUACCGCGUGGGUGAAGAAGGCCUUCGGGUUGUAAAGCCCUUUUGUUGGGAAAGAAAAGCAGCAGGUUAAUACCCCGCUGUUCUGACGGUACCCAAAGAAUAAGCACCGGCUAACUUCGUG
rnacentral:rRNA from 1 species